AUGUGUUUUUUUUUCUUGAAGCAAAGCUCUGUCCUCCAUCUACACGUACGAAAUCCAACCUAGUUCCAAGACUUCUUGAUUCAAUUAUAUUUGAAGAUGGAAAUGAAGAAAAGGUUUGCAUCAAGGAACGACUUUGGGGCUAAAAGGACCUCUGUAAAAAGUUUUAUGCAGCCAGAAGAUUGUGUUGAUGCUGUGAACGACUAUUGAUUUGAAAGUGGUGAGUGAACACACAGAUGGAAUCUAGGGCUACACUACAUUCUGU